rnacentral:RNase_MRP_RNA from 1 species
AAGAUGCUGCAGGGAAAGUCCCCGUGCCACAGAGCAGAGAGUGCUUGCAGGAGACUGGAAGGCUGAGGCUUGUCCUUGACUGUGCUGCCAAGGCAAAGUUGUGGGGCAUGGCUCGGUUGCUUGCAGAAAUGCAGCUAUGCCAUGGGUGCUUGCGUUGAGGCACCAACUGAAUGGGGCUCACUCUC